AACGAACGCUGGCGGCAGGCCUAACACAUGCAAGUCGAACGCCGUAGCAAUACGGAGUGGCAGACGGGUGAGUAACGCGUGGGAACAUACCCCUCGGUUCGGAAUAACUCAGGGAAACUUGAGCUAAUACCGGAUACGUCCGAGGUUUAAUCGGCCUUGGAGAAAGAUUUAUCGCCGGAGGAUUGGCCCGCGUCUGAUUAGCUUGUUGGUGAGGUAAUGGCUCACCAAGGCGACGAUCAGAGCUGGUCUGAGAGGAUGAUCAGCCACAUUGGGACUGAGACACGGCCCAAACUCCUACGGGAGGCAGCAGUGGGGAAGUAUUGGACAAUGGGCGAAAGCCUGAUCCAGCCAUGCCGCGUGAGUGAUGAGGGCC
rnacentral:rRNA from 1 species